rnacentral:lncRNA from 1 species
GUCUCUCAGCUGCAGAAAUAAGGGCAGGAUAAUUUUAGCUCUGCGUGUCUUAGCAGGGCUCCAUCUCUCCUGCCACCAAGCUGGCUCCAGACAGAGGCCAGUUGGGUCCUUCGGCAGCGAGGCCCUCCGAUCCUGGACUGCUGUGGACUCCCUGUGGACCCAGACUGGCUGUGUCGUGAUGCUUCCUUGUACGCUGCUUAGACCAAGAGCACAGGAACCUUUUCACGUUUCAAAACUAGCAAAACGAGCUGGUUAUCCAGCAGAGCCCUGAGAAAGAACACACAAGAUGGGGACACGGCGAUGGGAAUUGGGGGAGUGACAGGACUGGAAUCCAAGAGCCACCUCACAUGAGGAGGUGCCGGGUAGCUGAGGACCCCUUAAACCCUAGAAUGGAGACAAGGACCUAAAGACAAAACUUGGUGACAUGCGCCACCAUUUUAUAGGGUCGAGUUUGUAAGGCUGGUAUUCUUGGUAUUCUAGAGGUAGUGUGUUUUCUACUUGAUUCUGUGUCUAGAAUUCAGGCAGGCUCAGACACACAGGGGUGCCUGAGGUUAAGGUAACGUGACUCAAUCAGCCAGGCUUUCCCCAGUCACAGGCAGAAGAAAGACACGUUAAUUGAGCUUUAGAAAUCAAUAAAGGAUAACCCUAUUAAAGUAACAAAACAG